CUCGGUUACUCUCUAGUUCCGAUGUGUUUUCUUUUCCAGGUGGUUGGUGUUUCUGCAGUGCUUGGCACAGGACUGGGGGAGUUUUUUAUCCAGCUUUCUAAAGCUGUAGAUGAAUAGGAGAGACUGAAUGCACUCUCUUUAUUCACCUUUUCAGAGAGUAUUGUCCAGAAUACGAGCACCUGAGAAAAACACUGAAGGAAGCUCAAAAUAAACAAAAGAGAGAGCAGCUGGAACACUUGUGGAAGGACAUGGGCAGUGUGUGUGUGUGCAGGGCAGCACACUGGCAGGACCUGAUGCUUCUGCAAUGGGUCCCUCUGAGCUAAUACUAACACGAGGAACUCUCGAUGAAGAGCAAGAAGAGAGGGAGAGUGACACUGAUGACUGACCAUGAAGGUAAGGGAAUGAGAUCUAAAAGCUGCCUGUCUAGUCAAGAAAUCCCCUCUAUAUUUCAUGACCUGGAUGGACUGUAAGGAGAGCCUAGAAAACAAGCAAACAUUCAGUCACCUGACGUGUCAGAAUCUGUAGCAGAAGCUCAGCUGCAAUGGUCAGUCUAGGGAUAU